UACGAAGGUUGCGAGCGUUGUUCGGAAUCACUGGGCUUAAAGCGCAUGUAGGCGGCCCAAUAAGUGCCUUGUGAAAUCCCCCGGCUCAACCGGGGAAUGGCUUGGCAUACUGUUCGGGCUUGAGGUAGGUAGGGGCGCGUGGAACUCUUGGUGGAGCGGUGGAAUGCGUAGAUAUCAAGAGGAACGCCGGUGGCGAAAGCGACGCGCUGGGCCUGUCCUGACGCUGAGAUGCGAAAGCCAGGGGAGCAAACGGG
rnacentral:rRNA from 1 species